rnacentral:lncRNA from 1 species
AUGCAUCAUAAAUGCCAUGUGAUGAAUUAGGUUGCUUGCAUUAGAAUUCACGAAUAUGUUGCAUUGCAUAUUUUAAAUGUUGAUGUGGAUGAAUGUUGGAUGAUCCAUAGCCCUCGAUCUAUGAUAUGACGAUGUGAUAUGUACGGUACGGAAUGUAAGACCAGUGGGACCCAUUCUACAUUCGCUGGCACUAUGUAAGGGAAAGACCAGGACCCAUUCUACGUUCUGGCACAGUUGGACACUGUUAUGUUAUGAUAUGUAAGGG